UGGGGAAUUUUGGACAAUGGGGGAAACCCUGAUCCAGCCAUCCCGCGUGUGCGAUGAAGGCCUUCGGGUUGUAAAGCACUUUUGGCAGGAAAGAAACGUCAUGGGUUAAUACCCCGUGAAACUGACGGUACCUGCAGAAUAAGCACCGGCUAACUACGUGCCAGCAGCCGCGGUAAUACGUAGGGUGCAAGAGUUAAUCGGAAUUACUGGGCGUAAAGCGUGCGCAGGCGGUUCGGAAAGAAAGAUGUGAAAUCCCAGAGCGCAACUUUGGAACUGCAUUUUUAACUACCGAGAUAGAGUGUGUCAGAGGGAGGUGGAAUUCCGCGUGUAGCAGUGAAAUGCGUAGAUAUGCGGAGGAACACCGAUGGCGAAGGCAGCCUCCUGGGAUAACACUGACGCUCAUGCACGAAAGAGUGGGGAGCAAACAGG
rnacentral:rRNA from 1 species